rnacentral:rRNA from 1 species
GAUGAACGCUGGCGGCGUGCUUAACACAUGCAAGUCGAACGGAAAGGCCCAAGCUUGCUUGGGUACUCGAGUGGCGAACGGGUGAGUAACACGUGGGUGAUCUGCCCUGCACUUCGGGAUAAGCCUGGGAAACUGGGUCUAAUACCGGAUAGGACCACUUCUUGGAUGGUGUGGUGGAAAGUUUUUUCGGUGUGGGAUGAGCUCGCGGCCUAUCAGCUUGUUGGUGGGGUAAUGGCCUACCAAGGCGUCGACGGGUAGCCGGCCUGAGAGGGUGUACGGCCACAUUGGGACUGAGAUACGGCCCAGACCCCUACGGGAGGCAGCAGGGGGGAAUAUUGCACAAUGGGCGCAAGCCUGAUGCAGCGACGCCGCGUGGGGGAUGACGGCCUUCGGGUUGUAAACUCCUUUCGCUAGGGACGAAGCGUUUUGUGACGGUACCUGGAGAAGAAGCACCGGCUAACUACGUG